UAGAUCUGUAUGUUUGUGAUUCCUUCUC
rnacentral:piRNA from 1 species